rnacentral:lncRNA from 1 species
UUUUUCGUAGGAAGGUUUUAAUGAGGCUCGUGCUUUCUUGUUCUUUCAAGGGUUUUUAGGUCUUUUUUUUGUUUUUUCCUUUUUAUAUAUAAUCGUAAUUUGAUAAGGUCAAAGCUGAAACGCACUAACACAAUUUUGAUGACCUACUGUCGACCUUAAUUAUUUCAUAACAUUUGGUAUUUAUUUUGGUGACUAUGACAGGACAUUAUUCAAGAACUUCCACGGACUCUGCGAGAAUUAAACUAAUGUCAUGAUGUUAAAAAAUUAUUUAAUUCAAUAUCACGUAUUAUUCAAUUUGUUGAUAAUUAAUUAACUAAUGUCAUGUUGUAAAAAAAAUAUUUAAUUAAUUUAAUCUCACGUACUAUUAUUCAAAUUGUCAAAACAUGCCAUCCUUUCACAUGGGAUCCUAUCCGCCC